CUGAUGAUGGGAUCCUAGAGAAAUCGAGGGAAACUCUUGAAAAUCCGCAAUAACUUUUUACUAGGUGUACCGAUUUCAAUGAUUUUUAAUUUAAUCGAAAGCCGAUGAUUAUCAUGUAGUCACAUUUAAAUUUCAUCGAGAUCUGAUAACUACUUUUUGAGUAAUCUUUGAUAAUGCGUUAUUACUUGACUAUUUUUUCGUCGAUCUGCGUUGUAUUACUCGUCGAUGUAAUUGAAGU
rnacentral:misc_RNA from 1 species